rnacentral:rRNA from 1 species
AGGGCACCACCAGGAGUGGAGCCUGCGGCUUAAUUUGACUCAACACGGGGAAACUCACCCGGCCCGGACACCGCGAGGAUUGACAGACUGACAGCCCUUUCAUGAUUCGGUGGAUGGUGGUGCAUGGCCGUUCUUAGUUCGUGGAGCGAUUUGUCUGGUUUAUUCCGAUAACGAGCGAGACUCCAGCCUGCUAAAUAGUCACAGUGCUGCUUUUACACUGGCUGACUUCUUAGAGGGAUCAUCGGCGUUCAGCCGCACGACACGGAGCAAUAACAGGUCUGUGAUGCCCUUAGAUGUCCGGGGCUGCACGCGCGCUACACCGGCGAAGGCAGCGUGCCUGUCCUGUUCCGAUGGGAAUGGGUAAACCAUUGAAAAUUCGCCGUGAUUGGGAUCGGAGAUUGCAAUUAUUCUCCGUGAACGAGGAAUUCCAAGUAAGUGCGAGUCAUCAACUCGCGUUGAUUACGUCCCUGCCCUUUGUACACACCGCCCGUCGCUGCCCGGGACUGAGCCAUUUCGAGA